UUUUUGGUGGUAAUAAAUAAUUUUGUGUGUUUUUUUGGGUAAUAGUGAAAAAAAUUCAUAAAAAAACCCUUAGUAUUACAUGUUGUUCCCUCAAACCAAGAACUAAAUCGCUCUUUUUUACUUGAGUCAUUCAUAAUACGUAAUUACAUACUCUUCUUCCUCCAAAAAAAAAAAAAAAAAAAAACAAAACAGAAGGCACUUCAGAGUAAUCAAUCAACCCGUCGUCGUCGUCUUCAUGUGUCGCCGCUGCGCCACCACAUCUCCUCCCAGCUCUCGUAUGGUUGUGCUAGUUCUGUUGCUGCUGAAAUCUAAUUCUGCAAGCUCCUUGAUAGAUGAUUAUGCCCCGAGCCUAGAGACACGUGAACAAGAAGGCCAGAUUGCGGAUAAUAGCAGUGAUAUCUGGGUUUGCUUAUGCUCUAGCUUCUUAUUGACAAUAUCAGCAGGCCGCACCAAAUGUGACUCAUUUGCUAUUUAAAUUUGAUCUAGAUACCCUGAUUGAGCUUACAUCCUUACAGCCAAGAUUUAAUUAUAGGUACGGUGACUUUAGGUUUAUGUGAAUUCUUUGUAUUGAUUGUUUUGUUCUUAUAAGUUUUCUCAUCUCUGUACUGAUUUGUGAUACAGAGUUGCUUAAUUAUGGUUAUUCUUGAUAUGUUGGAUAAACUUUUGAAGCCGGUCAUAAAUGCAUUGCUUCAUGAGUGUUUGGGUACUAAAAUGGUCAUACCCAUUUUAGUCUUGGGUAAUUCUACCCAUUUAAGCUUAAAGGGCAUAAAAAGGUCUAAAAGGUCCCAAAUAAGUAAAAUGCAUCAAUAUAGCCUUCAACGGCCCACAUAUGUACUUCUAAGGGUUCACUAACACCCACCAUGUACUCCUAUAUAUACCCCUCAAGGGGCCAAAGGUAAAGAAGGUCACUCUCAUCAUCUAAGAUGACCAUACUCCUUCACUCUCUCCCCUUAACUCCUCUCAAUAUAUUCAUUGUUUGGCUACUAACUUUGGCGCCGGAGGCUCCACCCCGGGGCCCACCCCCGGGGCUCGGGGUUCAUUUUUCAUGUCGAUUUAAGGCCCAAAUUCGAGGUUCUCAGGCACCCCUUCGAGGCCCAGUUAGCUCAUUUUUUGCCGAAACAAUGAUUAUGAAUUUCAGGGAGAAUAUAUGGAAAAACUUGAGGAAUAUAAGAACAAAGAAAUUGAGAUAAGCUCCAACAAAGUCUACUUAGAGGUUGUAUGUGGGCAAAAGAAAGGAAAAGUUUACGGUUUAGGGAGCGCUUCAUAAAUGUACUUCAAGAACGAUUUGUGGAUAACUAUUGAUCUUUAAUAUUUGGAGGCAUAUUUGUAUAUCGUCAUUAGUUCUUAUUUGAAGUAGCUUCCUUUAUAUGGGUGGUAAUUUUGAAACAAUUAGUCAUGUGGUUUAGAAUAUUAUUUUUUAUUAUAUUGAUACAAAUUGAUGAUAUUUUUGAUAUUUUAAUAAAAUUGACAUUUUGGUUAUUUUAA